GGUAGCAAGGUUGCGGCUGCGGACGGAGGGCGGAGGUGGCAAGCGUUAAUCGGAAGUGGAGGGCGGAAGGCGGGCGCAGGCGGUGUUGUGAGGCAGGGGUGAAAUCCCCGGGCUCAGCCUGGGAACUGCGUUUGUGACUGUGUUGCUAGAGUGUAGCAGAGGGGGGUGGAAUUCCACGUGUAGCAGUGAAAUGCGUAGAGAUGGGGAGGAACACCGAUGGCGAAGGCAGCCCCCUGGGUUAACACUGACGCUCAUGCACGAAAGCGUGGGGAGCAAACAGGAUUAGAUACCCGAUUAGUC
rnacentral:rRNA from 1 species